rnacentral:hammerhead_ribozyme from 1 species
AUUCAGCUGACAAGUCCCAAAAUAGGACGAAACACGCGUCCUGGAU